rnacentral:lncRNA from 1 species
GCCGGCACAUCAAAUGGGCCGCAAAUAUCAGAAUGUACCAAAGUAAGUAUCUCUGUGGUCUUUUCUUCAUGUCUAAUAAAGAAAAGCUUGAUCAUUUUUUCUUGAAGGCAUAACUCAUAGACCGGAUAUGACUCGAAAGCCAACAGACCAAUUGUCUGAUUUUCUUCAUUCUGUUAAUCCUGUUUUCUCUGAUGUGACUUAGCCUUAGGUGCCAUAAAUACAUUUCGUUUAGAUUAUCUCUAGGAUGCUUAGAACCUACAGCAUUCAUAUUUCGCUCGAUAUAAUUAAUAAAUAUAUCAACAUGUAGUUGAAAAAGACC